rnacentral:tRNA from 1 species
CGCGGGAUGGAGCAGUCUGGUAGCUCGUCGGGCUCAUAACCCGAAGGUCGUUGGUUCAAAUACGGCUCCCGCAA